UAACAGAUGAAGUAUUCCAUCAAUUUGAUCUGGUAUCCUGAUAAACAAAGUUUACAGAUGACAACUCUUCUCUCAUGUUAAGAGGAAUGCAGUGCCACAAGAGGACUCUGAGCACUACUGUUAUUCAUUCAGCAGCAGUCUUCUCUGCAAAGGUCAUCACAGAGGACCUCCAGGGUGAGAAAUCUCAUCAGAAAUCAGGAUUGUCUGUGACAUAGCACAAUUGUGACACUGAGACAGUUAUGCCAUACAUAUAUGAGCUGCUUUAUCCCUUCUGAGGGUGGACUCUUUGCAUAGGCUUUGUCUGAUUUCUGGCAUCGAGCAGGCUCUGUUUCAAGCAAGCGGAUUUGUAAUUUAGACACAAAGAAGAAACCUUGAGAAAAUAGAAGGCAACUGCUGUUUUCUCCUAGUGGAUCUAAAAAGAAGAUAGUGUAGGACAUCAUAGUCUUGCUAAUUAAGAUGUUAUCUCCAGAAACUUUCUGCAUUACUCAGCAUGAAUGCCAUUCAGCUGCCAAAUAGUGAUGUCCUUCAUUACCAAGAUAAUUCUCUAAACAGCCGCAACAGUGCUGGGAAAUGCCACCUGAAACUGGAAGACAAGAUCAAGUUUUGAGAAGAGUAAAUUCGUUUUCAUAAGGAUGAGAAAGUGCCUCCUGAGACAACACAUUGCUGAGAAGAAUUAGAAGACCAAAGAAUAUUAGAAUUCCAAUGGAAGAAAACCUUUGUGAACCAUCUUAACUCAAAUAUUUCCAGACUCCAACACAAACAGUGAAGGUUUCAAUAUAAGCUACAUACACCCUGGCUGAAAAAGAUUAACAGAGAAAGAAUAACUUUCAGUGUAGUUUCAAAGACAACUGUUGCAUUUCCUCAUCUUCCCCUUUUGCCUCAUGUCCCUGAAAUGUUUUUGAUUUUAUCAUAUCUUCCUUUUUUCUGAUAGCGUUUGUUCUCCACAUGGAAAUUCUUUAGUACUUAUCAAGAUAUCUGGUAUCCUUCUCUGAGAUAUCAUUUAUCAUGGGACUGUUUAUCACUUUCCUUAUCUGGGCCACAGAUGUACUGGCCUAUAUUUGGAGUCUUCGUUAUAUUCUGAGCAAUCAAAAAAUCUAUGAAAAGGAAUGGGACAACAAAAAUCAAUCCACGUCCAACAAGCAAGGAUUCACAGUCUUUGGAACUUUAAAAAUAUUCAGCUCUUCUGUUGUUCUUGUCACCCUCUCGUUGCAGGAAAUGGGAUCUGACUUUAGUACACUAAAAGAUCUGCCUUGUGCCAAACUUAAGGGUAUUUCGUUGUUACCCACAUGGGGACAGUGGUAGAAAUGCUGUGCUACCUCUCUCAAAAAUCCUGGUAUUGAUAUUGCACAGUCUGCAAUAUUUAGCCCUCAGUCUGUUUCUGGGGCAGAACUAAGGAAUCAGACUAUGUUUUCAGUAUAUUUUAUUAUGCAUAUCUGUGAUCUUAUCCUGAAAACUAAAAGCCUCUGUCAACGCAUAUAUUCAUAAAAUAUGAAGCCAGAGAAGACUUUUAACAUCCUCUGUUAUAUGUAACAAAACCCUAUAUAUAUUCCUAGCAUGAGUAUUUUCUGUAAGCAACUUUGGUAGAGGAUCAACACGUGGCAAA